UACGUAGGGUGCAAGCGUUGUCCGGAAUUAUUGGGCGUAAAGAGCUCGUAGGCGGUCUGUCGCGUCUGCUGUGAAAAUCCAGGGCUCAACCCUGGACCUGCAGUGGGUACGGGCAGACUAGAGUGCGGUAGGGGAGAUCGGAAUCCUGGUGUAGCGGUGAAAUGCGCAGAUAUCAGGAGGAACACCGGUGGCGAAGGCGGAUCUCUGGGCCGUAACUGACGCUGAGGAGCGAAAGCAUGGGGAGCGAACAGG
rnacentral:rRNA from 1 species